rnacentral:rRNA from 1 species
UACGGGGGGGCAAGCGUUGUUCGGAAUUACCGGGCGUAAAGGGCUCGUAGGUGGCCAACUAAGUCAGACGUGAAAUCCCUCGGCUUAACCGGGGAACUGCGUCUGAUACUGGAUGGCUUGAGUUUGGGAGAGGGACGCGGAAUUCCAGGUGUAGCGGUGAAAUGCGUAGAUAUCUGGAGGAACACCGGUGGCGAAGGCGGCGUCCUGGACCAACACUGACACUGGUGAGCGAAAGCCAGGGGAGCAAACGGG